GAACUUGACUAUUAUGUGAAAAGGCAUGAAUAUGUUGGGGGGACGAUAAGACCCUAUAAAACUUGAUGAUUGGUGUGGAUUACUUUCGAUAUGAGUUUUAGGUAGGUUAACACGAUGGUCAUUGUGCUGGGGCGGCAGGAAUAAAACACUAACUGUUCUUAACAUAUAAUAAUUAUAAUUAUAGAUUGACCCCGAACUUCGGGUCUAAAGAGUAAGUUACUUUAGGGAUAACAGCGUUAUUUCUCUUGAGAGUUCAUAUCGACAGAGAUAUUUGCGACCUCGAUGUUGAAUUAAAGCUUUCUUUGGGGGCAGAAGUUCAAAGGAUAGGUCUGUUCGACCUUUAAAGCUUUACAUGAUUUGAGUUCAAACCGGUGUGAGCCAGGUUG
rnacentral:rRNA from 1 species